rnacentral:rRNA from 1 species
GAUAAACGCUGGCGGCGUGCCUAAUACAUGCAAGUCGAGCGAACGGACGAGAAGCUUGCUUCUCUGAUGUUAGCGGCGGACGGGUGAGUAAUACGUGGAUAACCUACCUAUAAGACUGGGAUAACUUCGGGAAACCGGAGCUAAUACCGGAUAAUAUUUUGAACCGCAUGGUUCAAAAGUGAAAGACGGUCUUGCUGUCACUUAUAGAUGGAUCCGCGCUGCAUUAGCUAGUUGGUAAGGUAACGGCUUACCAAGGCAACGAUGCAUAGCCGACCUGAGAGGGUGAUCGGCCACACUGGAACUGAGACACGGUCCAGACUCCUACGGGAGGCAGCAGUAGGGAAUCUUCCGCAAUGGGCGAAAGCCUGACGGAGCAACGCCGCGUGAGUGAUGAAGGUCUUCGGAUCGUAAAACUCUGUUAUUAGGGAAGAACAUAUGUGUAAGUAACUGUGCACAUCUUGACGGUACCUAAUCAGAAAGCCACGGCUAACUACGUGCCAGCAGCCGCGGUAAUACGUAGGUGGCAAGCGUUAUCCGGAAUUAUUGGGCGUAAAGCGCGCGUAGGCGGUUUUUUAAGUCUGAUGUGAAAGCCCACGGCUCAACCGUGGAGGGUCAUUGGAAACUGGAAAACUUGAGUGCAGAAGAGGAAAGUGGAAUUCCAUGUGUAGCGGUGAAAUGCGCAGAGAUAUGGAGGAACACCAGUGGCGAAGGCGACUUUCUGGUCUGUAACUGACGCUGAUGUGCGAAAGCGUGGGGAUCAAACAGGAUUAGAUACCCUGGUAGUCCACGCCGUAAACGAUGAGUGCUAAGUGUUAGGGGGUUUCCGCCCCUUAGUGCUGCAGCUAACGCAUUAAGCACUCCGCCUGGGGAGUACGACCGCAAGGUUGAAACUCAAAGGAAUUGACGGGGACCCGCACAAGCGGUGGAGCAUGUGGUUUAAUUCGAAGCAACGCGAAGAACCUUACCAAAUCUUGACAUCCUUUGACAACUCUAGAGAUAGAGCCUUCCCCUUCGGGGGACAAAGUGACAGGUGGUGCAUGGUUGUCGUCAGCUCGUGUCGUGAGAUGUUGGGUUAAGUCCCGCAACGAGCGCAACCCUUAAGCUUAGUUGCCAUCAUUAAGUUGGGCACUCUAAGUUGACUGCCGGUGACAAACCGGAGGAAGGUGGGGAUGACGUCAAAUCAUCAUGCCCCUUAUGAUUUGGGCUACACACGUGCUACAAUGGACAAUACAAAGGGCAGCGAAACCGCGAGGUCAAGCAAAUCCCAUAAAGUUGUUCUCAGUUCGGAUUGUAGUCUGCAACUCGACUACAUGAAGCUGGAAUCGCUAGUAAUCGUAGAUCAGCAUGCUACGGUGAAUACGUUCCCGGGUCU